rnacentral:rRNA from 1 species
UACAGAGGAUGCAAGCGUUAUCCGGAAUGAUUGGGCGUAAAGCGUCUGUAGGUGGCUUUUUAAGUCCGCCGUCAAAUCCCAGGGCUCAACUCUGGACAGGCGGUGGAAACUACCAAGCUGGAGUACGGUAGGGGCAGAUGGAACAAGUGGUGGAGCGGUGAAAUGCGUAGAUAUCACUUGGAACGCCAAUGGUGAAAACAGUCUGCUGGGGGUGUGCCGACGCUGAGACACGAAGCCAGGGGAGCGAACGGG